GGUAUUUGGGGACAAGCAACCAGUAUCUGUGCCUUAAAAGGCUCAUCGGUGGAGCUGCCCUGCUCUGAACAUCCCACUUCAAGCAAGACAUGGUAUACUCUACACUGGGAAGAUUACAAAGUUAUUCAAAAUGAGCUCUCUGAAGACGGACAUCGAGUGACAUACAACAUGUCUGAGGGGAGUAACUUCACUCUAACAAUCAAUGAUUUAAGAGAGACUGAUGAAAAUGUUUACUACUGCGGAGAGAAUUCAGAAAACUCCUGGCACCGAAGAAUUCAGCUUUAUGUUGCCGGUACAGUGGCUGUCAGUACUUCAUUACUUCAAAAAUCGUAUAUUUAUAUGAAAACUAAUUUAGUAUACCACUAUCCAGACCUGCAGGUAAAGGUUAUUCCUGCCACAGAGGGACAGACAGUAACACUGAUGUGUAACACCAGCUGUCCUCUGACUGAAAACCCUGCAGCCUACAUCUGGUACAGGAACAGAGAGUUUCUCUAUCAGGACUGGUCUCCCUGGUACCAACAGCUGGUCAGCAGUGACAAAGCAGUCAGAUACUCCUGUGCUAUCAAAGGCUACGAGGGUCUCAGAGCCCCUGAAGUCUCAGUGGAUUCUGUUACAACAGCCUGCUUUAGCGUGACCUACGCUAAAGGAAGAAUGUGUUUGUAUAAUCAGAAAUCAGAGGAUGAGGCAUGCUCCAUCAUGUAUCCCAGAGGUGAAGUUUUCUCCACAUUCCACACUCCACAAACAUUUACAAACACAAAUAACACACCUCCUGAAAGACCCCCCCAACCUAAAUAAAAUACUCGCUACUGGCAAAGUUACUGUUAAAUAUAUUCUGCAGUUUUCAAUAAUUGUCUCUCAACAGAAAUACAUGUUCAGAAGACACUUGCAGAGGGCUUUGUCAUUCUGACCUGUAUCACCAGCUGUCCUCUGACUGACCCUCAAACCACCUAUAGGUGGUAUCAGAACAGACAAUUGCACAUAUACACUGAGAGUCAACAGUUUUUAGUUUCCCGCUCAUCUGAUAAAAGACUCUCCUGUGCUUUAAAAGGUCAUGAGGAUCUGCUCUCGGCUGAAGUCUGUACUGAGGAUAAAAACUGCUGGAGUGUGAAUUAUUUCAGCAGGAGAAUUUGUGCACCAGAAGGUUCUUCAGUGAGCACUUCAAGUGAAUACUCAUACCCUGAUGACCAGCAACCCAAGUCUAAAUUAUGGUAUAAAAUAAAGAGAACUAGUGAGGUGGAUGCUGAAAAUGUGAUUGGGGCUGUAGGUCGUGUGGAGUAUCAUGACAACAUGAAGAAUCGCCACAUCCUUAAAAUUAAAAAGUUGAUGAAGAAUGACUCGGCAGAAUAUACGUUCAGACACCAAACAGAAGAAGGAGGACAAAAACAGUCCGAUUUACCUGGAGUGACUUUGGUUGUCACAGGCCUGAGAGUGAAGUUUACUCCUUCUGCAGAGGUGACAGAGGGCCAGAGAGUCACACUGACCUGCAGAACAAGCUGUCCUCUGACUGACAACACAAACUACAUCUGGUACUUAAACACACGACCUUUGACCCUGCCAGAGAACCAAAACAAACACUUGGUUCUAGACCCAGUCAGCAGUCAGCAUGCAGGAAACUACUCCUGUGCAGUCAAAAACAGCAUCAGUUCACAUGAAAGGACUCUCACUGUUCAAGGGAAAUCAAUGGCAAUAAUUAAUGCAGUUAGACUGACUAUUGCAUUAAUGAUCCCAAUUCCUCUACUUCUUUUCCACCUGUGGAUGAGGUAAAA